GACUCUACCAACUUCUUUGCUUUUCUGCAUCGUGCCAAGGGCCUUAAUGCCAUCUCAAUCUACUGCUUCCCACGAACAAAAAUCACCUGACGUGGUGACACAUCACCAAGGAUUACUGUGCCGCGAGCAAAGGAUGGCUCGGCGAGACAAAGAUGCUACAAAGGGUGGAGCUGCUCAAGACAAAGCCGUUCAUGAUUUGCACAACAGUGAUCAGCUCCUUCAGUGAGCACUAGAUCUGCAAAGAGCCCAGAGCUGCCUUUUGGACGAUCCCAAACAGGGCUACGCAAGGUUGAGCCUCCAGCAGAAAAGCCCUGAUAACCAUUUUCUCUCCUGAGUCCAUGUCCCCAGACCACUGAGAGGAAGGGUGAGCUCAACCGGGCAAGAUUCACUACUUACACAGGCUCAUGCUUCAGGUGAGGCAUCACACACACAAAUAGAACAGGUAAGGGAAUAAAAAUUCAAACAAAACAUGGCUAUACUGCGGCCUCGCUCGUCUUUGUGGUAGUCAUGCCGAACUCAUAGCAAGCAUCAGCGUAACAUUCGGAGGAAGCAAAGUGAUCACCCUUCAAAACUGAAGGAGAAAAGGCAGGACGGCUUUUGUUCUCGUGGCAUAGAUAUGGAGCCACAGCUAAAGAUCCUUUCCCCUAGAGGGCAGUGCAACUUAAAGAAUUGAAAUAUCUCCUGGCAGCGUUCAAAUGGAAAUCGGCAAUGUGAAGAUGUGGUUUUUAUCUCGACAAUGUUAACAGAAAAAUAUUCUACAGGGGUGUAUUUUCUGGAAUGAAUCUGUGUACACAGUACGAUUCUACAUUUCACUUAAUUUAUGUCAUUUUUAAGGGAAAUCUACAAAACCCACCUUUUUUUCCCCCCUUGAUCCUCUAAAUGAAAAGUAAUAUUGAAAUAAGGUCUGUGACAACAGAUUGUUGUAUUCAGUUUUGAUAUCUAUUGUUAGAGAGAAGUGGAACACAAAAGAAUAAAAUUCUUAUUUCUGAUGGACUGUGCGAGGACUUGUAAUAGAGCUAUCAGAAAUUUAAUGGAAUUCAGAGGCCAUAUUAUUCAAGGACUGACCUAGAUAUAAAUCUAAUAGAUUCAAAUAGAUAGGAGUAUAGAAUAAAUGUUCCUCUUUAUCUACCCCUUAAGUUUGUGGGUUUUGUAUUUUUUUUUUCUUCUAGCAAUACCUGUUUAUGUAGAUCAAUAUCAAACAAUGCAAUGGAUUUAAAUGGUAAAGCAUUUUCAGGUAUGCUUCAAAAAUGGUGGUUUAUCAUCCUGAAAAAUACAUUACUGAGUAGAAAUCGAUUAACAAAAUUCUUUCUUUUUUUUUUGCAAAUAUGUAUGGAUUUAAUCCUUCUUUAGAAAAGAGUGGAUAAUCUGAAAUUGUUUUAUAGAGCUACUGUCAUGAAGCAAAGAACAAAAUAUCAUCAGAUUGUGCAAAUUGCUGUCACUCUAUUUAUAGCAGCAGAAGAUUAGAUGCAGCUUGGGUCAAGAUUGUUAUUAGCGUUCCUGUUAAGCCCCACCACAGUCAUUGCAAGUGAGAGAGGAAAACUAAUUUUUACUCUGCUACUGUUAUUGUGUGCCUGGAAUAAAUGCAUUUCAAGGGUAAAUUAACAAAACAGUCUCACAUCACUACAUAAUGCUACAUUCUUAACUGGAAAAGACAGAAAUAUUUGUAAUAAAAUCAGCCCCCUUCAAUUUGUA